GACGAACGCUGGCGGCGUGCUUAACACAUGCAAGUCGAACGGAAAGGCCCUGCUUUUGUGGGGUGCUCGAGUGGCGAACGGGUGAGUAACACGUGAGUAACCUGCCCUUGACUUUGGGAUAACUUCAGGAAACUGGGGCUAAUACCGGAUAGGAGCUCCUGCUGCAUGGUGGGGGUUGGAAAGUUUCGGCGGUUGGGGAUGGACUCGCGGCUUAUCAGCUUGUUGGUGGGGUAGUGGCUUACCAAGGCUUUGACGGGUAGCCGGCCUGAGAGGGUGACCGGCCACAUUGGGACUGAGAUACGGCCCAGACUCCUACGGGAGGCAGCAGUGGGGAAUAUUGCACAAUGGGCGGAAGCCUGAUGCAGCAACUCCGCGUGCGGGAUGACGGCCUUCGGGUUGUAAACCGCUUUCGCCUGUGACGAAGCGUGAGUGACGGUAAUGGGUAAAGAAGCACCGGCUAACUACG
rnacentral:rRNA from 1 species